AUUAUUCCAAAAAGAAAAAGAAAGAAUAAUACGUGCAACCUCUUUCCCCGCACUUACCUUUGCAAAUUUACUCUUGGUUCAAUUCUCUGAAAUGACCAUCUUUUGCAAUUUCUCUUGUUGACAGUGGAGACUACGCAAAGUUAAGAAAGCAGUGGCGAAUCUUGUCUUGGCCGGUUUCACCAAAUUUUUUUGAUUGGUGAAUUUU
rnacentral:lncRNA from 1 species